UACAAUCGCCGUCGACAUCGGCCCCACUACCAUCGCCGCCGUCGACAUCGGCCCCACUACCAUCACCACCACCACCAUCACCAUUAUUGCCACAGCAAUAUACAAGACCUCCUCGCUGGCAACGUGGAAGUAAAAAAUUCAAAAAAAGAGGCGGCGGGCAAAACCGCGGGAGAGGCCGUGGGAGAGGCCAAAACAUAUAUAUUACGUACCAGUAAAAAAGCACCUGUCCUGGGACAAAAACCUCGCGCGCGUACAGUUGGCGCGAGGUACUAUCGUGCUUCUUGAUAUAUUUUAAUUAACAACUGUAUAUAAUAUUUUAAAAUAAAUAUUAAGCAUUCACAUAAACACAUCACUGUGCAGUUUUGAAUUUACGCGGCCCGCAUUUUCCUUUCCAUAAGUAAUAUAGGGAACAAGAAUAGCUAUUGCGGCUACUCCAGUCCACAGGUCUGGCGCAAGGAGAUGGAUCUGAGUGUGCCAUGUGCAACCUGGAGAUACGCUUACUGGAGGGUGAGAUUAGUAUUAAUAAUUUGCAACAUCAGUGAACGCGAGUCAAAGAAUUUUGAUCUGUUCGUGCAUCCAUGUGGCAGGAGUAUUUUCAUGGAGCAUUGCAAGUAAGCUAUCGAGAGCAGGUAUACCUUGAAAGUCCUCUGUGAAGGGAAGAUCAGACCUUUGAAGAAGAACAGCAGUUGCGGUACAAUAUUAUAUUUAGAUAGCAUACAGUUUUACAACCUAACUUAAAGAAUACUGUCAAACGCGUUGCCUCAGCUAUUUAGUAUCAUAUUAAGAAUAGAACCUCGCAGCAAUAGAUUAAUAUAUUUGAUAAAAAACUGCACUCAUUAACGAUAAUAUAUCACUUCUGUAAAUCAGUGAUCAUAAUAUGAAUCUAUUUCUACCUUUAUUUCUGUAUAUAUCUACUAUAUAAUUUUUUUCACUUUCCUUUAUUUAAAAUUCUACAGUCUUAAAUUCUAUCCCCAGCUGUUCAACGUUGAAUGAUGGUACAGAUUUAACUAUGUAAGUACUUAUAUAGUCCAAGAUAUCUGUGUUUAAAAACAGUAUCUAACAGUAUAAAUCUAUCUUUCAGAGAGGUGGUGUUUCUGAUGAUUAUGAUAAACUUAAUUCGGAGCAUAAGCCAAUAUAAAUUCUAAAAACAUUGUUUAACGCCGCUUAGCUCACCACUGACUAUGCUAUUAUAACGUUGGUUUACUUUGAACACUUACUUAUGCAGAAAGAAGAUGCUGUAGAUGCUGCAAUUCAAUAUAAAUGUUUCUUCCAGUGUAUAUACCAAAUUACUUAUUACUCUCAAAUGUAAUUUUUAUGAUAUAAAAAAAUAAUAGUUUAAAGUUAAUAGCAUUGAUUGUAUUAAAUUAAUAUAAUCCGAAGCAUAAGCAGAUGUAUAAAUUUAUUAAGACAUUGUUGUUUAACAUGCCACUAUUACUAUUAUUACAUUAUUAUUAUUUAUUUUACUUAUAU